ACGAAGGCUUCGGCCUUAGUGGCGCACGGGUGCGUAACGCGUGGGAAUCUGCCCUCAGGUUCGGAAUAACAGCGAGAAAUUGCUGCUAAUACCGGAUGAUAUCGCGAGAUCAAAGAUUUAUCGCCUGAGGAUGAGCCCGCGUAGGAUUAGCUAGUUGGUGUGGUAAAGGCGCACCAAGGCGACGAUCCUUAGCUGGUCUGAGAGGAUGAUCAGCCACACUGGGACUGAGACACGGCCCAGACUCCUACGGGAGGCAGCAGUGGGGAAUAUUGGACAAUGGGCGAAAGCCUGAUCCAGCAAUGCCGCGUGAGUGAUGAAGGCCUUAGGGUUGUAAAGCUCUUUUACCCGGGAUGAUAAUGACAGUACCGGGAGGAUAAGCUCCGGCUAACUCCGUGCCAGCAGCCGCG
rnacentral:rRNA from 1 species